rnacentral:rRNA from 1 species
GAGUUUGAUCAUGGCUCAGAGUGAACGCUGGCGGCGUGCUUAACACAUGCAAGUCGAACGAUGAAGCUCUAGCUUGCUAGAGUGGAUUAGUGGCGCACGGGUGAGUAAUGUAUAGCUAAUGUGCCCCUUAGAGGGGGAUAACAGUUGGAAACGACUGCUAAUACCCCAUACUCCUUCUUCCUAUAAGGGAAGUUGGGAAAGUUUUUUCGCUAAGGGAUCGGGCUAUAUGGUAUCAGCUUGUUGGUGAGGUAAUGGCUCACCAAGGCUAUGACGCCUAUCUGGUCUGAGAGGAUGAUCAGACACACUGGAACUGAGACACGGUCCAGACUCCUACGGGAGGCAGCAGUGGGGAAUAUUACACAAUGGAGGAAACUCUGAUGUAGCAACGCCGCGUGGAGGAUGACACAUUUCGGUGCGUAAACUCCUUUUAUAUGGGAAGAUAACGACGGUACCAUAUGAAUAAGCACCGGCUAACUCCGUGCCAGCAGCCGCGGUAUAC